rnacentral:rRNA from 1 species
GAUGAACGCUGGCGGCGUGCCUAAUACAUGCAAGUCGAGCGAACAGACGAGGAGCUUGCUCCUCUGACGUUAGCGGCGGACGGGUGAGUAACACGUGGAUAACCUACCUAUAAGACUGGGAUAACUUCGGGAAACCGGAGCUAAUACCGGAUAAUAUAUUGAACCGCAUGGUUCAAUAGUGAAAGACGGUUUUGCUGUCACUUAUAGAUGGAUCCGCGCCGCAUUAGCUAGUUGGUAAGGUAACGGCUUACCAAGGCGACGAUGCGUAGCCGGCCUGAGAGGGUGAUCGGCCACACUGGAACUGAGACACGGUCCAGACUCCUACGGGAGGCAGCAGUAGGGAAUCUUCCGCAAUGGGCGAAAGCCUGACGGAGCAACGCCGCGUGAGUGAAGAAGGUCUUCGGAUCGUAAAACUCUGUUAUUAGGGAAGAACAAAUGUGUAAGUAACUAUGCACGUCUUGACGGUACCUAAUCAGAAAGCCACGGCUAACUACGUG